GGGGUUAUGGCUCAGUGGUAGAGCGCUUGCCUAGCAUGUGUGAGGCCCUGGGUUCUAUCCCCAGCACCUCA
rnacentral:tRNA from 1 species